UACGGGGGGGGCAAGCGUUGUUCGGAAUUACUGGGCGUAAAGGGCUCGUAGGCGGCCAACUAAGUCAGACGUGAAAUCCCCAGGCUCAACCUGGGAACUGCGUCUGAUACUGGAUGGCUUGAAUCCGGGAGAGGGAUGCAGAAUUCCAGGUGUAGCGGUGAAAUGCGUAGAUAUCUGGAGGAAUACCGGUGGCGAAGGCGGCAUCCUGGACCGGCAUUGACGCUGAAGCGCGAAAGCUAGGGGAGCAAACGGG
rnacentral:rRNA from 1 species